GACGAACGCUGGCGGCGUGCUUAACACAUGCAAGUCGAGCGGAAAGGCCCUUCGAGGUACUCGAGCGGCGAACGGGUGAGUAACACGUGAGCAACCUGCCCUAGGCUUUGGGAUAACCCCGGGAAACCGGGGCUAAUACCGAAUAGGACCUGGCCCCGCAUGGGGCUGGGUGGAAAGUUUUUCGGCCUGGGAUGGGCUCGCGGCCUAUCAGCUUGUUGGUGGGGUGAUGGCCUACCAAGGCGACGACGGGUAGCCGGCCUGAGAGGGCGACCGGCCACACUGGGACUGAGACACGGCCCAGACUCCUACGGGAGGCAGCAGUGGGGAAUAUUGCACAAUGGGCGGAAGCCUGGUGCAGCGACGCCGCGUGAGGGAUGACGGCCUUCGGGUUGUAAACCUCUUUCAGCAGGGACGAAGCGUAAGUGACGGUACCUGCAGAAGAAGCGCCGGCCAACUACGUGCCAGCAGCCGCCGUAAAAC
rnacentral:rRNA from 1 species